rnacentral:rRNA from 1 species
GUGUCAGCCGCCGCGGUAAUACGUAGGUGGCAAGCGUUGUCCGGAUUUAUUGGGCGUAAAGCGCGUGCAGGCGGUUUCUUAAGUGUGAUGUGAAAUCCCAGGGCUUAACCGUGGGGGUGCAUUGGAAACUGGGAGACUUGAGUGCAGAAGAGGAAAGUGGAAUUCCUAGUGUAGCGGUGAAAUGCGUAGAGAUUUGGAGGAACACCAGUGGCGAAGGCGACUUUCUGGUCUGCAACUGACGCUGAGGCGCGAAAGCAUGGGGAGCAAACAGGAUUAGAUACCCUGGUAGUCCAUGCCGUAAACGAUGAGUGCUAAGUGUUAGGGGGAU